rnacentral:misc_RNA from 1 species
UGUGGGAGCGGGCUUGCUCGCGAAAGCGGUGUGCCUGGCAGCAUCAAUGUUGACUGUUUCACCGCCUUCGCGAGCAAGCCCGCUCCCACA